GAAGAAUUGUCUUAUAACCUCAUUACCCAAAAAGUCUUCAGAGUGGAAAUAAACUCCACAAGAUUGUAACACAAUUAAAUGACCACUAUAGGUAUCCAGACUACGUCAUCUCAGUGUAGUGAAAGAGUGCAAUGGACCGGUCAUUUUAGAUAUAUGACAAGGAUUUCAUUGCAAGGCUAAAACACACCCCUAGUGGCCAUCUUCCUGAAAGCCAU